rnacentral:lncRNA from 1 species
GGCGCCCUCUCCCUUCUCUCUAAAAAUCUUCUUCUUCUCUCUUCGCCGGCAGUCUCACUCCUCUCAAAUCUCUCCCUUCCGUCGGUCUCUCUCCUCUCAGAUCUCACCGGCUUCCUUGCCCCUCUUCCCUUCCGAUCGACCUCUCUCCUCUCUGAUCUCACCCCCCUCUCCUUGUUUUUCUUUUUUGUUUCUUUUUGUGCUUUUCCUUGUCUGCGGCUAACUGUUGAUGAUUUUUUUGGUUUUUUCGU